AUACGGGUUCUCGUACGAUCACUGAAGUUAAGCUAUAUCGUGUCUGGUCAGUACCUAGAUGGGUGACCGCUUGGGAAUACCGGGUGCUGUAA